UACGUAGGGCGCAAGCGUUGUCCGGAAUUAUUGGGCGUAAAGAGCUCGUAGGCGGCUUGUCACGUCGGAUGUGAAAGCCCGGGGCUUAACCCCGGGGUCUGCAUUCGAUACGGGCUAGCUAGAGUGUGGUAGGGGAGAUCGGAAUUCCUGGUGUAGCGGUGAAAUGCGCAGAUAUCAGGAGGAACACCGGUGGCGAAGGCGGGAUCCUGGGCCAGUACUGGCGCUGAGGAGCGAAAGCGUGGGGAGCAAACAGG
rnacentral:rRNA from 1 species